UACGUAGGGGGCGAGCGUUGUCCGGAGUUACUGGGCGUAAAGGGCGUGCAGGCGGUGCGGUAAGUUUAGCGUGACAGUCUCCGGCUUAACUGGAGAAGGCCGCUGAAAACUGCUGGACUUGAGGGCCAGAGAGGGACAUAGAAGUUCCGGGUGGAGUGGUGAAAUGCGUAGAUAUCCGGAGGAAUACCAAAGGCGAAGGCAGUGUCCUGGCUGGCAACUGACGCUGAGGCGCGAAAGCUAGGGGAGCGAACAGG
rnacentral:rRNA from 1 species